CUUACCAUGCAAGUCGAACGAUGAUCCCAGCUUGCUGGGGGAUUAGUGGCGAACGGGUGAGUAACACGUGAGUAACCUGCCCUUGACUCUGGGAUAAGCCUGGGAAACUGGGUCUAAUACCGGAUAUGACCAUUCCACGCAUGUGGUGGUGGUGGAAAGCUUUUGUGGUUUUGGAUGGACUCGCGGCCUAUCAGCUUGUUGGUGGGGUAAUGGCCUACCAAGGCGACGACGGGUAGCCGGCCUGAGAGGGUGACCGGCCACACUGGGACUGAGACACGGCCCAGACUCCUACGGGAGGCAGCAGUGGGGAAUAUUGCACAAUGGGCGCAAGCCUGAUGCAGCGACGCCGCGUGAGGGAUGACGGCCUUCGGGUUGUAAACCUCUUUCAGUAGGGAAGAAGCGAAAGUGACGGUACCUGCAGAAGAAGCGCCGGCUAACUACGUGCCAGCAGCCGCGGUAAUACGUAGGGCGCAAGCGUUAUCCGGAAUUAUUGGGCGUAAAGAGCUCGUAGGCGGUUUGUCGCGUCUGCUGUGAAAGACCGGGGCUCAACUCCGGUUCUGCAGUGGGUACGGGCAGACUAGAGUGCAGUAGGGGAGACUGGAAUUCCUGGUGUAGCGGUGAAAUGCGCAGAUAUCAGGAGGAACACCGAUGGCGAAGGCAGGUCUCUGGGCUGUAACUGACGCUGAGGAGCGAAAGCAUGGGGAGCGAACAGGAUUAGAUACCCUGGUAGUCCAUGCCGUAAACGUUGGGCACUAGGUGUGGGGGACAUUCCACGUUUUCCGCGCCGUAGCUAACGCAUUAAGUGCCCCGCCUGGGGAGUACGGCCGCAAGG
rnacentral:rRNA from 1 species